rnacentral:ribozyme from 1 species
CGGAAUUAAUUUUUUAAAAGCACGGCUUUAUAGUUAUGGCUGAAUUCUGUGUGGACAAGUUUGCUACAGUGUACA